rnacentral:rRNA from 1 species
GCAGUGGGUACGGGCAGACUAGAGUGCGGUAGGGGAGAUUGGAAUUCCUGGUGUAGCGGUGGAAUGCGCAGAUAUCAGGAGGAACACCGAUGGCGAAGGCAGAUCUCUGGGCCGAACUGACGCUGAGGAGCGAAAGGGUGGGGAGCAAACAGGCUUAGAUACCCUGGUAGUCCACCCCGUAAACGUUGGGAACUAGUUGUGGGGCCGUGACGCAGCUAACGCAUUAAGUUCCCCGCCUGGGGAGUACGGCCGCAAGGCUAAAACUCAAAGGAAUUGACGGGGACCCGCACAAGCGGCGGAGCAUGCGGAUUAAUUCGAUGCAACGCGAAGAACCUUACCAAGGCUUGACAUACAGGUGGUGCAUGGUUGUCGUCAGCUCGUGUCGUGAGAUGUUGGGUUAAGUCCCGCAACGAGCGCAACCCUCGUUCUAUGUUGCAACUCAUGGGAUACUGCCGGGGUCAACUCGGAGGAAGGUGGGGAUGACGUCAAAUCAUCAUGCCCUAUGUCUUGGGCUUCACGCAUGCUACAAUGGCCGGUACAAAGGGCUGCAAUACCGUGAGGUGGAGCGAAUCCCAAAAAGCCGGUCCCAGUUCGGAUUGAGGUCUGCAACUCGACCUCAUGAAGUCGGAGUCGCUAGUAAUCGCAGAUCAGCACGCUGCGGUGAAUACGUUCCCGGGUCUUGCACACACCGCCCGUC